AAGUGUUGUUUUUAUUUACUUGAAUUGCUUCCCCUUGUUCUAAAUUUGCCAAAUAUAUUUCAGUGUGAAUUUCAGCGUGAUAAGAAGGUUGUUGAGUUUACGUGGUAUCGUCUCUCACUCUGGAUAAAACACAACGAGAACCAUGACAGUACCAUUGAAGGAUGAAAAUAAAAGUCUAUCUGACUUUAACCAUCAUGAAGACCACGAUAGAACUAAUAAACAUGUCUCAGUAAUGGCAUCUGAACCAGUUGAUACGGAUGCAUUUCUUCCUGCAGAUGACACUAAGCAAAGUGACAAACACCAUGACACAGCAGAAACGAACCUCAUACCAGACAACUACAAGCAUUUGCGACUUUGCGCUAGACUUAAAGUAGACUUGCCUUACAGACAAAGAUUUAUUCAUUCGUUUUGGCUUUUCUGGACUUAUAUAGGCUU